UUGGUCUUUGUCUUCUUCCAAAGAAUAAUAGAAUAAUAGAUCCUCUUCAAGAAAGUAAUCUGUAUACACAGACACUUUCUUCUUCACCAAGAGAAAAAAAAACACGAUCUGGUCUUCAAUCGAUCAAGACUUUGAUUUGUAUAGGAGUUCGAUGAAAGAAAAAAAAAGACUCCGGUGGCCCAACCGGCGAGAGCAGCAGCGACGAACCGGUGGCGGCGGGAUUGUCGAGCAGCGGCGGUCAGGAGACCGCGGAGGCGAGGAACAGGCGGCGAUGAACCGGCAACUGGGUUCAAUCGGAACCCAAGUUUGCGAUUUCAAGAUACAAGAUGAAUCUCUUAUAUAGAGAUUAAAUUGGAAUUUGUCAAACAAGGAAAUUAAUGCAGAAGAAGAAGUGGAUCAAGCACAGUUGUCUUCCGCCACUUCUUUUGACAGGCCACAAAACAUGUUGCAGGUUUCCCACAUGUUUUCUGUCACUACUUUUGACAAACCACAAGAGUGGCUUCACACUGGACACAUAAAGAAUACGCUCCUCAAGAAAGCAGCGUUUAUGCAUUGAUGGGAAAGAUAUAUAAAAAACGCCUUAUAUACGACAUGUCCAUGCUUCAUUUUGGUCGAGCUUUGGAUUUGAAGCCUACUGCAACCGAUGUUGCUACUAUCAUGGUCAAAUUCUCUUCUCUCAAAGAUGUAACUGACUAACUGUAUAUUAGAUAAAGUGAUUUAGGAGGUUCUACUAUAUUUUAUAUUUCUCAUAGGCUGCCAUUAAGAAAUUACAUGUAGCUGAUGAAUUAGAAGAUAACUUCAAGUGCUAUUGACAGAAGUGAGUUUGAUUCUCUUCUAAAGCUAUAUAUAGAAGCCGAUGCAGUUCAAGAGAAAGCAAGAACUCUGAGUUAUAUAGCGUCUUCUCCGGACCCAGAUAUAGUCAAAGAGGCGUUAGACCUCAUCUUAAAUGAUGAGAAUCGAGAACAAGACACGGUAUAUGUAACUGCACGGAUGAGCUUGGAAGGCCGUGAAACAGCAUGGAUAUGGCUAAAACCGUAAAAUCAUACAUAAAUUAAAAUUUUUCUGAUACAUGUAUUCUGUAAUUAGUGUUAAAACUGCCUUAAUGGGUAUCAAUUUAGAAAAGAGGGUGUAUAUAUGAUUGUAGUUUGUUUUCCCCAUGAUCAGUUUUUGAUUAUAUGCUGAACAGUAAAUACUUUUCUGGUUUGUAUUCUCUUUUCAGGAGAACUGGGAUGUGAUUGUAAAGUGGUGGGAUCAAGGGAUGGUGUUCCAUCGUUUCAAUAGAGAUAUAGUGACACCGUUUAGCAGCGAUGAGAUGGCAGAACAGGUGGAAGAGUUUUUUAGUAACCGAGUAACUCCUUCGUUUGUUAGGAUCUUGAAACAAAGCAUAGAAAAAAUCCAAAUCAAAGCCAGAUGGAUUGAUAAAAUUAGGCAGGAGGAAUCUCUUAUACCGAGGUUGACCAGAGGAUUGACCAGAACUCCAGUGGAAACAUAAUAACAAGACCCAAACCAUUGGAUCCUUGUCAUGCUUUUGUUCUGUAUUAAACACACCCCUAUACAUGUGUGUGUAUGAUGUAUGUAUAUUUUGUAUCCAUAACGCUUUUUGAGUCCUCUGUUAACAAUAACAUCACCUAAAAGCUCAACAUAGAUGUAUGUAAUGUAACAUAAUCGAUAAACGCUAUUUUCUAGA